AUUGAACGCUGGCGGCAGGCUUUACACAUGCAAGUCGAACGAGUGGCGGACGGGUGAGUAAUGUCUGGGAACCUGCCUGGUAGAGGGGGAUAACUACUGGAAACGGUAGCUAAUACCGCAUACUAUCAGAUGUGCCCAGAUGGGAUUAGCUAGUUGGUGGGGUAAAGGCUCACCAAGGCGACGAUCCCUAGCUGGUCUGAGAGGAUGACCAGCCACACUGGGACUGAGACACGGUCCAGACUCCUACGGGAGGCAGCAGUGGGGAAUAUUGGACAAUGGGGGCAAGCCUGAUGCAGCCAUCCCGCGUGUAUGAAGAAGGCCUUCGGGUUGUAAAGUACUUUCAGCGGGGAGGCGUUACCCGCAGAAUAAGCACCGGCUAACUACGUGCCAGCAGCCGCGGUAAUAC
rnacentral:rRNA from 1 species